rnacentral:misc_RNA from 1 species
UUUCCGUAGGUGAACCUGCGGAAGGAUCAUUACAGAGUUCAUGCCCUCACGGGUAGAUCUCCCACCCUUGAAUAUUUAUACCUUAGUUGCUUUGGCAGGCCGUGGAAACACCAUGGGCCCCGGCUUAUGCGUGCCUGCCAGAGGAAACAAACUCUGUUUUUAGUGAUGUCUGAGUACUAUAUAAUAGUUAAAACUUUCGACAACGGAUCUCUUGGUUCUG